GGUUAAGCGACUAAGCGUACACGGUGGAUGCCCUGGCAGUCAGAGGCGAUGAAGGACGUGCUAAUCUGCGAAAAGCGUCGGUAAGGUGAUAUGAACCGAUACAGCCGGCGAUGUCCGAAUGGGGAAACCCAGUGCAAUUCGUUGCACUAUCGUUAACUGAAUACAUAGGUUAACGAGGCGAACCGGGGGAACUGAAACAUCUAAGUACCCCGAGGAAAAGAAAUCAACCGAGAUUCCCCCAGUAGCGGCGAGCGAACGGGGAGCAGCCCAGAGUCUGAAUCAGCUUGUGUGUUAGUGGAACGGUCUGGAAAGUCCGACGGUACAGGGUGAUAGUCCCGUACACCAAAAUGCACAGGCUGUGAACUCGAAGAGUAGGGCGGGACACGUGGUAUCCUGUCUGAAUAUGGGGGGACCAUCCUCCAAGGCUAAAUACUCCUGACUGACCGAUAGUGAACCAGUACCGUGAGGGAAAGGCGAAAAGAACCCCGGCGAGGGGAGUGAAAAAGAACCUGAAACCGUGUACGUACAAGCAGUGGGAGCACCUUCGGGUGUGACUGCGUACCUUUUGUAUAAUGGGUCAGCGACUUAUAUUCUGUAGCAAGGUUAACCGUAUAGGGGAGCCGCAGGGAAACCGAGUCUUAACUGGGCGUUAAGUUGCAGGGUAUAGACCCGAAACCCGGUGAUCUAGCCAUGGGCAGGUUGAAGGUUGGGUAACACUAACUGGAGGACCGAACCGACUAAUGUUGAAAAAUUAGCGGAUGACUUGUGGCUGGGGGUGAAAGGCCAAUCAAACCGGGAGAUAGCUGGUUCUCCCCGAAAGCUAUUUAGGUAGCGCCUCGUGAAUUCAUCUUCGGGGGUAGAGCACUGUUUCGGCUAGGGGGUCAUCCCGACUUACCAACCCGAUGCAAACUACGAAUACCGAAGAAUGUUAUCACGGGAGACACACGGCGGGUGCUAACGUCCGUCGUGAAGAGGGAAACAACCCAGACCGCCAGCUAAGGUCCCAAAGUCAUGGUUAAGUGGGAAACGAUGUGGGAAGGCACAGACAGCCAGGAUGUUGGCUUAGAAGCAGCCAUCAUUUAAAGAAAGCGUAAUAGCUCACUGGUCGAGUCGGCCUGCGCGGAAGAUGUAACGGGGCUAAACCAUGCACCGAAGCUGCGGCAGCGACACUAUGUGUUGUUGGGUAGGGGAGCGUUCUGUAAGCCUGCGAAGGUGUGCUGUGAGGCAUGCUGGAGGUAUCAGAAGUGCGAAUGCUGACAUAAGUAACGAUAAAGCGGGUGAAAAGCCCGCUCGCCGGAAGACCAAGGGUUCCUGUCCAACGUUAAUCGGGGCAGGGUGAGUCGACCCCUAAGGCGAGGCCGAAAGGCGUAGUCGAUGGGAAACAGGUUAAUAUUCCUGUACUUGGUGUUACUGCGAAGGGGGGACGGAGAAGGCUAUGUUAGCCGGGCGACGGUUGUCCCGGUUUAAGCAUGUAGGCUGGUUGUCCAGGCAAAUCCGGAUAAUCAAGGCUGAGGUGUGAUGACGAGGCACUACGGUGCUGAAGUAACAAAUGCCCUGCUUCCAGGAAAAGCCUCUAAGCAUCAGGUAACAUCAAAUCGUACCCCAAACCGACACAGGUGGUCAGGUAGAGAAUACCAAGGCGCUUGAGAGAACUCGGGUGAAGGAACUAGGCAAAAUGGUGCCGUAACUUCGGGAGAAGGCACGCUGGUGUGUAGGUGAAGUCCCUGCGGAUGGAGCUGAGACCAGUCGAAGAUACCAGCUGGCUGCAACUGUUUAUUAAAAACACAGCACUGUGCAAACACGAAAGUGGACGUAUACGGUGUGACGCCUGCCCGGUGCCGGAAGGUUAAUUGAUGGGGUUAUCCGUAAGGAGAAGCUCUUGAUCGAAGCCCCGGUAAACGGCGGCCGUAACUAUAACGGUCCUAAGGUAGCGAAAUUCCUUGUCGGGUAAGUUCCGACCUGCACGAAUGGCGUAAUGAUGGCCAGGCUGUCUCCACCCGAGACUCAGUGAAAUUGAACUCGCUGUGAAGAUGCAGUGUACCCGCGGCAAGACGGAAAGACCCCGUGAACCUUUACUAUAGCUUGACACUGAACAUUGAGCCUUGAUGUGUAGGAUAGGUGGGAGGCUUUGAAGCGUGGACGCCAGUCUGCGUGGAGCCAACCUUGAAAUACCACCCUUUAAUGUUUGAUGUUCUAACGUUGGCCCCUGACCGGGGUUGCGGACAGUGUCUGGUGGGUAGUUUGACUGGGGCGGUCUCCUCCCAAAGCGUAACGGAGGAGCACGAAGGUUAGCUAAUCCUGGUCGGACAUCAGGAGGUUAGUGCAAUGGCAUAAGCUAGCUUGACUGCGAGCGUGACGGCGCGAGCAGGUGCGAAAGCAGGUCAUAGUGAUCCGGUGGUUCUGAAUGGAAGGGCCAUCGCUCAACGGAUAAAAGGUACUCCGGGGAUAACAGGCUGAUACCGCCCAAGAGUUCAUAUCGACGGCGGUGUUUGGCACCUCGAUGUCGGCUCAUCACAUCCUGGGGCUGAAGUAGGUCCCAAGGGUAUGGCUGUUCGCCAUUUAAAGUGGUACGCGAGCUGGGUUUAGAACGUCGUGAGACAGUUCGGUCCCUAUCUGCCGUGGGCGCUGGAGAAUUGAGGGGGGCUGCUCCUAGUACGAGAGGACCGGAGUGGACGCAUCACUGGUGUUCGGGUUGUCAUGCCAAUGGCACUGCCCGGUAGCUAAAUGCGGAAGAGAUAAGUGCUGAAAGCAUCUAAGCACGAAACUUGCCCCGAGAUGAGUUCUCCCUGAGACUUUAAGUCUCCUGAAGGAACGUUAAAGACGAUGACGUUGAUAGGCCGGGUGUGUAAGCGCAGCGAUGCGUUGAGCUAACCGGUACUAAUGAACCGUGAGGCUUAACCUU
rnacentral:rRNA from 1 species